CACUCACUACGGCGUCCUAAUUGCCCUCAGGAUUGUUCUCGGGAUAUUCCAGGGCGCGUCGUGGCCGUCCAUGCACGCCUGUGUGGCGCGCUGGAUCCCGCCCCUGGAGCGAUCCAGGUUCAUCGCGGCCGUCUACUUCGGCGCAUCACUGAGCGCGGCCUUGACGAUGCCCCUGUGUGGC
rnacentral:lncRNA from 1 species